GGAACAGUCCUUGGCAGAGGGGUCUGCUGGGGUCAGGGAGAGGCCUCACCUAUGGUAGGCUGGAUGUGGUCCAGGUUGAACCGAGCCUUCAGGAAGGGGUAGGCCAAGAUGAGGAACCCUGAGAAGAGACACAGGGGGUUCUGUGAUGGGGAGGAGCCUGGCUGCAGCCCCAGCCGCCACAGCUACAGCGGUGAGAGCAGGCCGGAUCCCAGAUCUGCAGGCGGGUGAGCAGGUGGAGCCCAGUGAAGAGAUGUUCCUGCUGCAGGCAAUUAUGCAAAAUUAAUUCCCAAUUAUGGUACAUUAAAAAAUCAACGAGCUGCAGGAGGCAGAAGUAACCAGCGACACAAACCAAAAGCACAGUUGAUUCUGCGGGUUCUUUUGAAGAGGAGGCUUUAGAAGUCUGGCAGGGAUAAGAAGGGCUAAAUGAAUCCCAGCCAGCCUACCCCUCAGUACCACAGUGACCACCAAGAAGAAGGCCUAAUGCAGAGCAGAGCAGAGAGCUCUGCAAACGGCAAUGCUUGGACCAGCAAUGCAGAAAUAAUUAGUGCCUUGUUUAAGAGCAUCUCAGGGGGCUUAACUGCUCUACCUCAUUUCUUCUUGUGUGGCCGAUUUAAAAAAAAAAUUCCUUCAGUGCGACUGUCUGAAUGUUCAGAGGAGCAAGUGCUAGUUACCAAAUCUCCCAAAGUGACCUAUUCCCUUCUCACCUGCUUUGCAUGUCCAAGGCAGCCCUGCCAGCAGCAGAGCAAAGACCGCUUUGGCACCAGGAUGCUAUUAUUUUUGUUUUUUAAAAUAGAGAUGGAGUCUCGCUAUAGCCAGGCUGUUCUUGAAAUCCUGGCCUUAAGCAAUCCUCCUCCCUUGGCCUCCCUAAGCAUGGGGAUUACAGGUGUGAGCCACCUCGCUAGGCCCACCGAGGGUUGCUGUUUUUAAGAGAAAACCUCUGCACUUUGGCCAGGCCUCCUGAAGGCGACUGGAGAUAGCAGCUUAGCCCAUGAGGGGUUAACCUGCUGACCUGGCCAAGAAGGCACCUCCGGGAGAGCCCUCUUCUAACCAAAGAAAGGGACAAAGAACUAACUCAGGGUCAUGGUGUUUUGGUGGAGGACACAGAAACCUCCCUUUCGUCUUUCCUUCCACAGCACAUGCAGCACAGAGACAGGGCUGGAAAGCUGAGCAAGAGUCAGAGCUACAGUUGUAAGUAUUGGAAAGCGGCAGCGGAUUCUCGGGGUGAUGGGAAAAGCAAAAUCUGCUUCACUAAAACUCCCUCGGUGAUCAACUUUUUCAGCAGUCCUCCAAUUCCCGACUAGAAGGCAAAAGCCUGGCCCAGGCCACGGGAGGCACUUCACUAAAGAAGAAAAACCUGAGCUCCAGCAAGCUCAGUAACUUCAUCAGUCACCUAAUUGAAUGAGAACCCAGAGCAACUCAGUCCAGGCUGCACAAAUUGAGUAGCACUGCUCUGCAGCUCGCUGCACUAAAAGUGAAAGAUAUUUUCCAUUACAGCAAGUGCUCCCACAGAAGGAUCACGAGCCACACAUGGAGACUUACUCUCCAAAUAGGCGCCCAUGGCCCAGUCGUCCCUUAGCCUAAGAACUCAGAGAGCCAGGCUGUAAUAAUGGGACUGCCGUGUGAGCACGGCAGCCAUCGAGCUGCUCCGGUUCAUUUCCCAGAGGUUGAGCUGCAGUGUGUCCAGUAUUUAAAAGUAUGGAACUUGUUUCAGGGCUGACCCAUUCUUGCCCAAUUCAUCUUCCCCGUGUGAAGUUAUUUAGCAAACAGCGAAGUUCAGCUGGAAAUCGUUUUUCAUCCCCUCCAACUUCUAGUCACAUGGGCAGCUGGCCAGCUACAUGUUAACAAGCGCCUCAGAACUCCUAAGACACCACCGGCCUCUGUUCCCUUCAGUGCAUUCUUGUAAAUAAAUAAAUAAUAAAACCUGCCUUUACC